AAAAUAUUUUUUAAUUUUGAUCAGGUGUCCAAAAUCGAUUUUGACUGGGGCGGUUAAAACAACUGGUUAAAACCACACUGUCCGAUUCCUGCCAACCCUGCCGAAAAUAUUAAU